rnacentral:rRNA from 1 species
UACGGGGGGGGCAAGCGUUGUUCGGAAUUACUGGGCGUAAAGGGCUCGUAGGCGGCCAACUAAGUCCGACGUGAAAUCCCCAGGCUUAACCUGGGAACUGCGUCGGAUACUGGAUGGCUUGAAUUCGGGAGAGGGAUGCAGAAUUCCAGGUGUAGCGGUGAAAUGCGUAGAUAUCUGGAGGAAUACCGGUGGCGAAGGCGGCAUCCUGGACCGACAUUGACGCUGAUGAGCGAAAGCUAGGGGAGCAAACAGG